rnacentral:tRNA from 1 species
UGCCCUAUCGUCUAAUUGGCAGGACAGCACAUUUUGGUUGUGCUUGUCUAGGUUCGAGUCCUAGUAGGGCAACAA